CAGUAGCCGCGGUAAUACGUAGGGUGCAAGCGUUAAUCGGAAUUAUUGGGCGUAAAGCGCGCGCAGGUGGUUCGCUAAGACAGAUGUGAAAUCCCCGGGCUUAACCUGGGAACUGCAUUUGUGACUGGCGGGCUAGAGUAUGGCAGAGGGGGGUAGAAUUCCACGUGUAGCAGUGAAAUGCGUAGAGAUGUGGAGGAAUACCGAUGGCGAAGGCAGCCCACUGGGCCAAUACUGACGCUCAUGCACGAAAGCGUGGGGAGCAAACAGGAUUAGAUACCCCCGUAGUCCCUGUCUCUUAUAC
rnacentral:rRNA from 1 species